UUUGAAAGGAAGAAUAGAAAAAUCUACAUGAGUACUCUUGGGGGAACAGAAUUACAUUGCCUCUCCGUGGACUCCUGGCUGUACAUUCUCCAAUAAGCAGUCUUGGUGACCCACUGGAACGUGCCCUUUCAGCUACUGUCAUUAAUAACUUCAGAUUUUGCAACAUGAUAGUCUGA
rnacentral:lncRNA from 1 species